CCUACGGGGGGCUGCAGUGAGGAAUAUUGGUCAAUGGGCGAGAGCCUGAACCAGCCAAGUCGCGUGAGGGAGUACUUCCCUAUGGGUUGUAAACCUCUUUUGUCGGGGAGCAAAAGCCGGACGUGUCCGGCUGUGAGAGUACCCGAAGAUCAAGCAUCGGCUAACUCCGUUCCAGCAGCCGCGGUAGUACGGGGGAUGCGAGCGUUAUCCGGAUUUCUUGGGUUUAAAGGGUGCGCAGGCGGAUUGUUAAGUCAGCGGUCAAAUCGUGGGGCUCUACCCCAGCCAGCCGUUGAAACUGGGGAUCUAGAGUGUGCGAGAGGUAUGCGGAAUGCGUGGUGUAGCGGUGAAAUGCAUAGAUAUCACGCAGAACCCCGAUGGCGAAGGCAGCAUACCGGUGCACAACUGACGCUCAGGCACGAAAGCGUGGGUAUCGAACAGGAUUAGAUACCCCGGUAGUC
rnacentral:rRNA from 1 species